CUUCCUAUUUAGGAGUAAAUUAUCAUAUAUAUAUAUAUAUAUAUAUAUAUAUAUAUAUUUACAAUUUAUCCAAAAAGAGU
rnacentral:miRNA from 1 species